UUUAGUGUCUGUCAUAAUGUUCAAUUCUUUUGGCAGUCAUUUUCUUUUUUUUUUCCUUUUUUAUGUGUUUUAAACUGAGGAGGUGAUGGAUCUGAAAAGUGAUGUGAAUGAUGAACCCUAAUCUCUUGUCGCUGUUCAUCUUCCACCUCUCUCAUUCAUCUCUUUUCGGCCACCCAUUGCAGCUCAUCUCCUUGCCGGCGUCGCCGCUGCAAACAAUGUCGUUGAUGUUGCCUUCAAUGAGCUCUGCGAUUUGGUUGUUCCUUCUCUGUCACUUCUAAUAGAUCUAGUUUAUGAUCUAGUAGGAAAAAAUAGGGAAUGCUUGCUCACUGAGUCGUGCCAGCAAAUCAGAUCUACCAAAAUGUUUGAUGGCAUCCUCGGUCAGUGAUUCGUCGCGAAAUGAUACAUUAUCAAACUACUGGCCCAGAGAUAUGGAAAGGUUCAAAUGGAAAAGUCAACAUGCUUAUAUGCGGGAUAGGUACUGGUGGUACCAUCACUGGUAUAGGAAAAUAUCUGAAAGAGAAUAAUUCCAACAUAAAGUUGAUUGGUGUGGAACUAACUGAAAGUCCAGUGCUCUCAGGAGGAAAACCUGAUAUCAAGUGAAGAAGCUAUAGAAACUGCAAAGCAACUUAUGCUUAAAGAAGGCCUGUUUGUAAGUUUCCCAAUAAGAUGCAGAAGACGAGCGAGAAACUUUUUUUGUUGAUGAAGAUGAUGAAGACAAUGACGGGAAUGGGAAUGCCAUUGGUGAGUGGGGAUAUCUUCAAACAGUUUUGGAAGUGGAGAGCAUCGCCAUAAGGAUAGGACAAGUGAGGAGCAGAAGAAGGUAAUGAAGAAUGUAGUAGAUGGACCUUUUAGGGCAUUGGUGGCUCAGCUGUUACAGGUCGAAAACCUACCUGUUGAAGACAAUGGUGAAAACGUUUGGAUGGAACUAAUCACAUCUCUCUCGUGGGAAGGUGCUACUUUAUUGAAGCCAGAUACUAACAAAAGUAGAGGGAUGGACCAGCUGGUAAUGUGAAAGUCAAAUGCAUUGCUUGUGCUAGCCGCAUUGAAAGGGUUGUUAAAGGAGUUGUUUAUAAGAAUAAUGUGGCUCAUCGUCGCAUGACAUCAAAAGUUGAUAAACCUCGCUUGUUGAUCCUUGGAGGAGCUCUUGAGUACAGGCACUCAAAUUGUGCCUUCAAUUGAUCAUCUUUCAUCACCAAAGUUGGGUUACCGUGAAGCUUUUCAUGUUGAAAAGUUUGUUGAAAAUCUGAGUAGUGCUGCUGCUCAAGAUAUUUCUUAAAGGUGCUGAUGAGGAAGAAUUGAAGAAGGUAAAGCAUGUGGUUCAGUAUGCAGUUUUUGCAGCUUACCAUCUGGCUUUGGAGACAUCUUUUCUUGUUGCUGAAGGAUUGGGAAUCAUGAAUGAUCCUACUCUAAAUGGUUAUGGACCUGCAGAGAAAUUAGAUCAUGGCAUCAAUAGAUUUUAAUGGAUCAUUCCUAGAGCCGCUGCCUGCUGUAAGGCAACAUAUAAUUGAUGGUUUCAUUCGAAAGGCUCUAGACAUUUUUACAAGAGAGUUUGAUUUCUUUGACAAGGUUACAUCCAUAUCCGGUGUACUAUUUCCACUCCCUAAGGAAGAACGCCGAGCUGGUAUCCGAAGGUAUGGACAGAACCUGAAAGCAUAAUUUUUAUGUGAAUUCUUAAGUGCAAUUUUAUUGUUUGGUUGAAGUUACUGCUUCUGUUUAUUGGAGAAAAUUGAAUUGAAUGGUGAAAACCUUUAUCUACCAAUAGCUCCUAACAAGCUAUAUUUGCAUGUUUACUAUAUUUUUAACUUUUAACUCCCCCAAUUCAACGAAUAACCUCGGUGAGAUGGGAGAUAUAUUGGGUUGAUGAUGUUUGAGUUGGAGACAAAAUUGUAAUUUCAAGCACAUUCUACACCUAAUUCAAAUAAAUUGUUAUUUUAUUUAUUAUUCCUAGAAUUGUGAAGUCUUUCUGGCAAUGGUCAUGAAAUCAUAUUCAUAUAUAUUCAUACUUCUCACUCUCACCUUCCACGAACAAGGCAAAAGCAAGAGUUGUUGAUGGUACAAAUCCAAAAGAGAUAGAAAUAACAACACCUUCUUUUAAUUAUGUAAAUUUUGAGAGAGUUGAAAGGCUAAUCAAAAGGUUGGUGUCUAUUUCUUCCCUCAUACAUAUAUAUAAUUUUUGGCCUCAAUAGUGCUUCCAAGAAUGAAUGCUCUGCUGCAACCGGCUUAAAGCGGAUGCUUAAUCAGGAAUUGAAAGCAAUCAAGAGUGCAAGUUACGCACAAGAAGUACCAGGAAAAUUUUUUCUUACUAUGCAAGCAUGUGCGUAGCUUAAUUUUUGCUGCUUCAAGAUCAGAAAGUUCUUGAAGAGAAUCUUAACUUAUCAAGUGCAGGAUUUGAAAGGAUAAUAUGAAGCUAAUGGAUGACAUAGCUGCUCUAAAACCUACCAUAUUUGUUAGUGUUCCUCGGUUAUGUCCAAGUUGGAAGUAGGAAGUAGGAAGUAGGUCUUCUGGAGCGAGCAACAGAGCAUCGUGAAAUAUGGAGAUUUUAUGUAUUAAGAGUUAAUGUUAAGACAUUUAUAGUUAAAAAAUCAUGUUAUGCUUGAUACUUUGUAUAAGAGUUAUUACUUUUGAUUUUCAAUACUAAAAAAAUCAUAUAUUAUGUUUAA